GUUAUAUGGUCAAGCGAAGAAGCGCAUACGGUGGAUGCCUUGGCGGUAGGAGGCGAAGAAGGACGUGGUAGUCUGCGAAAAGCUUCGGGGAGUCGACAAGCGGGCGUUGAUCCGGAGAUAUCCGAAUGGGGAAACCUAGCCAUCGCGAGAUGGUUAUCGGCAUCUGAAUAAAAUAGGAUGUUGAGGCGAACCUGGGGAACUGAACCAUCUAAGUACCCAGAGGAAGAGAAAUCAACCGAGAUUCCCUAAGUAGCGGCGAGCGAAAGGGGAGCAGCCCAAAAGCUGGUAAGAGACUAGUGGAACGAUCUGGAAAGUUCGGCCAUAGACGGUGAUAGCCCGGUACGCGAAAGGCUUUUACGAGUGAAAUUGAGUAGGGCGGGACACGUGUUAUCCUGUCUGAAUAUGGGGGGCCCACCCUCCAAGGCUAAAUACUCCCUACCGACCGAUAGUGAACGAGUACCGUGAGGGAAAGGUGAAAAGAACCCCGUAGAGGGGAGUGAAAGAGAAUCUGAAACCGUAUGCGUACAAGCAGUGGGAGCACCUUUAGGGGUGUGACUGCGUACCUUUUGUAUAAUGGGUCAGCGAGUUACUUUCAGUGGCAAGGUUAACCGAGAGAGGGGAGCCGAAGGGAAACCGAGUCUGAAUAGGGCGAAUAUAGUCGCUGGGAGUAGACCCGAAACCGGGCGAUCUAGCCAUGGCCAGGGUGAAGGUGGGGUAAUUCCCACUGGAGGCCCGAACCCACUGAUGUUGAAAAAUCAGGGGAUGAGCUGUGGUUAGGAGUGAAAGGCUAAACAAGCUCGGAGAUAGCUGGUUCUCCCCGAAAGCUAUUUAGGUAGCGCCUCAUGAAUCACUCCUGGGGGUAGAGCACUGUUUCGGCUAGGGGGGCGUCUAGCCUUACCAAACCGAGGCAAACUCCGAAUACCGGGAAGUGCAAUCAUGGGAGACACACAGCGGGUGAUAAGGUCCGUUGUGGAAAGGGAAACAGCCCAGACCGUCAGCUAAGGUCCCAAAAUUAUCGCUAAGUGGGAAACGAUGUGGGAAGGCGAAGACAGCCAGGAGGUUGGCUUAGAAGCAGCCAUCCUUUAAAGAAAGCGUAAUAGCUCACUGGUCGAGUCGGCCUGCGCGGAAGAUGUACCGGGGCUCAAGCGAUAUACCGAAGCUACGGGUGCGAAUUCUCUUUAAGGGGAUUUGCGCGGUAGGGGAGCGUUCCGUAGGCUGUUGAAGGUGUGCCGGGAGGCAUGCUGGAGGUAUCGGAAGUGCGAAUGCUGACAUGAGUAACGAUAAAGGGGGUGAGAGGCCCCCUCGCCGAAAGCCCAAGGGUUCCUGCGCAACGCUAAUCGGCGCAGGGUGAGUCGGCCCCUAAGGCGAGGCCGAAAGGCGUAGUCGAUGGGAAACCGGUUAAUAUUCCGGUACCCGUUAUAACUGCGAUGGGGUGACGGAGAAGGCUAGGCUGGCCGGGGGUUGGAAGUCCCGGUUCAAGCGUGUAGGGAGCGCUCUUAGGAAAAACCGGGAGCGCCUAUUCCGAGGCGUGAUGACGAGCCCCCUUAAAGGGGGUGAAGUGGUUGAGGCCCGGCUUCCAGGAAAAGCCUCUAAGCAUCAGGUUAUAGCGGACCGUACUCGAAACCGACACAGGUGGGUGGGGUGAGAAUCCUCAGGCGCUUGAGAGAACUCGGGUGAAGGAACUCGGCAAAUUAACACCGUAACUUCGGGAGAAGGUGUGCCCCCGGUAGGUGAAGGCCCUUGCGGCUGGAGCGGAAAGGGGUUGCAGUGACCAGGUGGCUGCGACUGUUUAUUAAAAACACAGCACUCUGCAAACUCGUAAGAGGAAGUAUAGGGUGUGACGCCUGCCCGGUGCCGGAAGGUUAAGUGAUGAGGUCAGCCGCAAGGCGAAGCCUUUGAACGAAGCCCCGGUAAACGGCGGCCGUAACUAUAACGGUCCUAAGGUAGCGAAAUUCCUUGUCGGGUAAGUUCCGACCUGCACGAAUGGCGUAACGAUGGCCACACUGUCUCCACCCGAGACUCAGUGAAAUUGAAUUGGCUGUGAAGAUGCAGUGUACCUGCGGCAAGACGGAAAGACCCCGUGAACCUUUACUAUAGCUUUGCACUGGAUUUUGAACCUGCUUGUGUAGGAUAGGUGGGAGGCGGAGAAGCGUGAUCGCCAGAUUGCGUGGAGCCAUCCUUGAAAUACCACCCUGGCAUGUUUGGAGUUCUAACCUAGGCCCGUUAUCCGGGUUGGGGACAGUGCAUGGUGGGUAGUUUGACUGGGGCGGUCUCCUCCUAAAGGGUAACGGAGGAGCGCGAAGGUACCCUCAGCGCGGUCGGAAAUCGCGUAGUGAGUGCAAAGGCGAAAGGGUGCCUGACUGCGAGACGGACAGGUCGAGCAGGGGCGAAAGCCGGUCUUAGUGAUCCGGUGGUUCUUAGUGGAAGGGCCAUCGCUCAACGGAUAAAAGGUACUCCGGGGAUAACAGGCUGAUACCGCCCAAGAGUUCAUAUCGACGGCGGUGUUUGGCACCUCGAUGUCGGCUCAUCACAUCCUGGGGCUGUAGCAGGUCCCAAGGGUAUGGCUGUUCGCCAUUUAAAGUGGUACGCGAGCUGGGUUUAGAACGUCGUGAGACAGUUCGGUCCCUAUCUGCCGUAGGCGUUGGAGAUUUGAGAGGAGCUGCUCCUAGUACGAGAGGACCGGAGUGGACGGACCUCUGGUGUUCCGGUUGUCACGCCAGUGGCAUUGCCGGGUAGCUAUGUCCGGAAGGGAUAACCGCUGAAGGCAUCUAAGCGGGAAGCCUUCCUUAAGAUGAGAUCUCCCUGAACCUACGAGGUUCCUGAAGGGUCGUUGAAGACGACAACGUUGAUAGGCGGGGUGUGGAAGCGCAGUAAUGUGUGAAGCUAACCCGUACUAAUGGCCCGUGAGGCUUGACCAUAUAACACCCAAGCAAGUUGG
rnacentral:rRNA from 1 species